UGACUACUCCCUCCGUUCGGAGUUACUUGUCUCGGAAAUGGAUGUAUCUAGAACUAAAAUACAUCUAGAUACAUCCAUUUCUGCGACAAGUAAUUCCGAACGGAGGGAGUAGUUA
rnacentral:pre_miRNA from 1 species